CGGCCCGUCAAAAUAGCCCACCGUACAGCUCUCAAAAGAUCCAACUUUCUUCCCACUACGGAGGAAGAAGCUCUCGUGCUUCUCCACCUCCGCCACCACCGCACCACCACCACCACCACCACCGCACCACCACCACAACAGAAGGACAACUUCUUUUCAUUUCCCAUCUCUCUCUUAACCCAAUUCAAAAUUCCUAAAAGAAAAACGAAAGAAGAGGGAAAGAAAAGCGGAAAAUGUCGCUUGGAGAACUCUACGUUUUACCAAACAUCUGAAAUCACAGUCAUAACAUGCCCUGCUUCGCUUUUAUGCGAGGCUGCCUCAGGAACGAUCUUUACUUGACCAUGCAUACUGAGACCAACGGUUCUGUAAUUCGCAGUCCGUUCAUACCCCAGAAACCCUACAGCCUUCAGAACUAUACUCUUUACCGCCAUGAAAGACCGAGCCCUAGCUUUCGGUACUGUUUGCGCUCCCCAGCGCUUGAGGUCCGUGAUAACUUCUUCGGCUUCUUCUGGAGUCUCCACUCAUUCUCUGGACUUCGAUUGGCGGGAGAAUCAAGGUCUCCUUUUGAGCCCUAGGAGCACUAAUUUUCCCUACUUGCAACCACAACGGCAGAAUAUGCAGUAUGGCCGGUAUGCAUAUGAUGAUUACUCGGAAGAUGACUCUGAUCAGGACUUCCAGUCAGCUUCUUCGCAAAAGAGUUCUACUCUUGAUAACAUUGAUGAGUGGAAGUGGAAGUUAACCAUGCUUGUUCGCAAUAAAGAUGAGCAAGAAUUGGUGUCAAGGGAGAAAAAGGACAGACGUGAUUUUGAGCAACUUUCAGCAUUGGCUACCAGAAUGAGUUUGUAUUGUCGCCAGUAUGAAAAGGUAGUUGUUUUUAGUAAGGUUCCACUGCCAAACUACAGAUCUGAUUUGGAUGACAAGCGUCCACAGAGGGAGGUGAUCAUACCACUUGGUUUGCAAAGAAGAGUGGAUACUCAUCUUAGAGAAUACCUUUAUCGGAAACCUAUGAACAAAGGAACUUUUCCAGAUGCUACAUUUUCAAGAUCUAGCAGCAGUGGCAGUAUUGCUACCGAUGAAGGGCUUUUUGAGCAACAGGAACCACUAAUACCUACUAGUGUUGUAAUGGAGAAAGUUCUUAGGCGGAGAAGUUUGCAACUGCGUAAUCAGCAACAAGCUUGGCAGGAAUCCCCUGAAGGUCAAAAGAUACAAGAGUUUCGCAGAAGCCUCCCUGCUUACAAAGAAAGAGAUGCACUAUUAAAUGCCAUUUCACAAAAUCAGGUUGUUGUCAUCUCGGGUGAAACUGGUUGUGGAAAGACCACACAACUUCCUCAAUAUAUUUUAGAAUCUGAAAUAGAUGCUUCCCGUGGAGCUUUCUGUAGUAUUAUUUGCACCCAGCCUAGACGAAUAUCUGCUAUGUCUGUUUCUGAAAGAGUUGCUGCAGAGAGAGGGGAGAAAUUGGGUGAAUCUGUUGGAUAUAAAGUGCGACUAGAGGGUAUGAAAGGAAGGGAUACGCGCCUCCUAUUUUGUACUACAGGCAUCUUGUUGAGGAGGUUAUUGGUUGAUAGAAAUUUGAAAGGUGUAACUCAUGYCAUUGUGGAUGAGAUUCACGAACGUGGAAUUAAUGAAGAUUUUCUGCUUAUUGUCCUAAAAGACCUCCUUCCUCAUCGGCCAGAACUGAGAUUGGUUUUGAUGAGUGCAACCUUAAAUGCAGAAAUUUUCUCAUCCUACUUCGGUGGGGCUCCAAUGAUACAUAUUCCAGGUUUUACAUACCCAGUACGGACUCAUUUUCUAGAGAAUGUUCUAGAAACGACUGGGUACAGAUUAACUCAGUACAACCAAAUUGAUGAUUACGGUCAAGAAAAGGCAUGGAAAAUGCAGAAACAGGCUCUCAGAAAGAGGAAGAGCCCAAUUGCUUCUGUUGUUGAGGAUGCCCUUGAAGCUGCUGAUUUUAGGGAAUAUAGCUUACGGACUCGGGAAUCUUUGCGCUGUUGGAAUCCUGAUUCUCUAGGUUUUAACCUCAUAGAAAAUGUUCUUUGCCAUAUAUGUACAAAAGAAAGGCCUGGUGCUGUUUUGGUAUUUAUGACUGGUUGGGAUGACAUAAAUGCUCUGAGAGAACAACUCCAAGCUCAUCCUCUUUUGGGAGACCCGAGCAGAGUUCUGGUGCUUGCAUGCCAUGGUUCAAUGGCCAGCUCAGAGCAGAGGUUAAUAUUUGAAAAGCCUGAGGAUGGCAUAAGAAAAAUAGUUCUUGCAACCAACAUAGCUGAGACAAGUAUCACCAUUGAUGAUGUAGUUUUUGUUGUCGACUGUGGAAAGGUAAAAGAGACAUCAUAUGAUGCAUUGAAUAACACUCCUUGCCUGCUUCCUUCCUGGAUUUCAAAGGCUGCUGCUCAGCAAAGAAGAGGAAGAGCUGGCCGCAUUCAACCUGGUGACUGUUACCAUCUCUAUCCCAGAUGUGUAUAUGAUUCUUUUGCAGAUUAUCAGAUGCCAGAAAUCUUAAGAACACCCUUACAAUCUCUUUGUCUGCAAAUUAAAAGCCUACAGCUUGGAAGCAUUUCAGAGUUCCUAUCUAGGGCCUUGCAGUCACCUGAACCAUUGUCGGUUCAAAAUGCCAUUGAAUAUCUUAAAAUCAUUGGAGCGUUGGCUGAAAAUGAGAACCUGACUGUUCUAGGACGACACUUGUCAAUGCUUCCAGUGGAGCCCAAACUCGGAAAGAUGCUCAUAUUAGGGGCCAUUUUCAACUGUUUAGAACCAAUAUUGACCGUUGUUUCUGGUUUAAGUGUCAGGGAUCCAUUUUUAAUGCCAUUUGACAAGAAGGAGCUUGCUGAGUCUGCAAAAGCCCAAUUCUCUGCUCAGGACUACAGCGAUCAUCUUGCACUUGUCCGAGCCUACCAAGGCUGGAAAGAUGCUGAAAGAGAGCAAGAUGGAUAUAGGUACUGCUGGGAAAAUUUUCUUUCAGCACAGACCCUGAAAGCUAUUGAUUCUCUUCGGAAACAGUUCUUUACUUUGCUCAAGGAUACUGGCCUGGUUGAUGAGAAGACAGCCACAUACAAUGCAUGGAACCAUGAUGAGCACCUCAUUCGAGCCAUCAUAUGUGCUGGCCUCUACCCUGGAAUUUGUUCGGUUCUGAACAAGGAGAAGUCGGUAUCACUGAAGACAAUGGAGGAUGGUCAAGUCCUUUUAUACUCUAACUCGGUCAAUGCUCGGGAACUCAAAAUUUCAUACCCAUGGCUAGUUUUCAAUGAAAAAGUGAAAGUGAACUCAGUGUUCCUUAGAGAUUCUACUGGUAUAUCUGAUUCUGUGCUUCUCCUAUUUGGAGGAGAUAUUUGCAGAGAGGGGCUUGAUGGGCACCUAAAAAUGUUGGGAGGAUAUCUAGAGUUCUUCAUGAAACCUGCUUUGGCAGAAACUUACACCAAUCUAAAGAGAGAGCUUGAUGAACUAAUCCAAAACAAAAUUUUGAAUCCCAAGAUGGACUUAAAUGUCCACAGCGAUCUCCUAUCAGCAGUAAGGUUGCUGGUGUCAGAGGACCGAUGUGAGGGUAGGUUUGUCUUUGGCCGUCAGGUCCUAAAACCAUCAGAAACUCUAGCAGCAUCGAUUCCGCCCUGCGUGUUUUCAAGAAGUGGUGGAAGUGGGCCUGGGGGUGAUAAUUCUAAGAGUCAAUUGCAAACAUUAGUCACCAGAGCAGGACAUGAGGCACCCACUUACAAGACAAAACAAAUGAAGAACAACCAGUUCCGAGCCAUUGUGGAAUUCAAUGGUACGCAAUUCAUGGGACAACCUUGCAACAACAAGAAGCAAGCAGAAAAAGAUGCAGCAGCUGAGGCUUUGCAGUGGCUCACUGGCGGAGCUCAGACAGCUCCUGGAGAUAUAGAUCAUAUGUCUAUGUUGCUGAAGAAAAGCAAGAAGAAACAUCAGAGAACUUGAUAUGUGGUACAGAGGUAGAACUGCACUGGAAAGACACGAUGAGGUUAUCAGAAAUAUUGCCAUUAAUUUCACCAGAGUUGCAGAAUUGGUGGUUCAGUUAUAUGGUGGAUUUGACUAGUGACCCAGCCACUUCGGAUAAGACAACCUGCGAUUUUUCAAUGUGCAGGUUCUGUGAUAGUCAAUCAUGGCCCUUUCGGGGCUUAAUUCUUUAUCAAUGCGGUAAACAUUGGCCAUGGAAUGUUCUUCACUGGUUAAUGAGCCUGGAACGACUAUACAGACAAUAUAUGUGCUGUGUAUAUUCCAUAUAUGGAUGGAUCAAGUAUCUGGCGUGAAGGAUCUUUCUUUCCAUUCCUGAUUCAACUUCUGUACUGGAUGGAUGACAGAACAAUCUCUGCUAGGCAUUCAAGUGGGAAUUUGUGAAAAACAGUCUAUCUAGUCUGAUAGUAAAGCUAGCUUUUUAUCCAACUUGUUGAUUUUCAUUAUGAUUUAUUAUCUAUUUGCCUGCUACCUUGCAAAUUAUCCUGGACUGGGGGGUGGGGAGUGGAUAUUUUUCUCUUUUGGAUGUAUUUGUUCUUGCGUAACGAAUCUCGGGUGUACUUGUUGCAGAGAACAAAAUCAUUGCACUUGCAUUGACUGUAUCUGGUCAUGGUUUUACAUGUUAAAUGUGCAUGAAUUUUCACAAAAAUUUGUAUUUGGAUUUUGUACACUGGCAGAAAGUGAUUCACUGAAUGGAGUUUGGAUAUGCUUCCAACAAGCCACUUCAAUCAA